ensembl:snRNA U6 U6 spliceosomal RNA
AUGCUUACUUUGGCAGCAAAUAUACUAAAACUGGAAUCAUAAAGAGAAGAUUAGCAUGGCCCCUGUGCAAGGAUGACAUGCAAAUUCGUGAAGUGUUCCAUAUUUUU